rnacentral:rRNA from 1 species
AAGCUCGUAGUUGAAUUUCGGGGUUAGUAGGUUGGUCAUGCCUCUGGUAUGUACUGGUCUCACUGAUUCCUCCUUCCUUAUGAACCGUAAUGCCAUUAAUUUGGUGUUGCGGGGAAUUUGGACUGUUACUUUGAAAAAAUUAGAGUGUUUAAAGCAAGCUAACGCUUGAAUACAUUAGCAUGGAAUAAUGAAAUAGGACGUUCGAUCUUAUUUUGUUGGUUUCUAGGAUUGACGUAAUGAUUAAUAGGGAUAGUUGGGGGCAUUAGUAUUCAAUUGUCAGAGGUGAAAUUCUUGGAUUUAUUGAAGACUAACUACUGCGAAAGCAUUUGCCAAGGAUGUUUUCAUUAAUCAAGAACGAAAGUUAGGGGAUCGAAGACGAUCAGAUACCGUCGUAGUCUUAACCAUAAACUAUGCCGACUAGGGAUCGGAUGAUGUUAAUUUUUUAAUGACUCAUUCGGCGCCUUACGGGAAACCAAAGUGUUUGGGUUCCGGGGGGAGUAUGGUCGCAAGGCUGAAACUUAAAGGAACUGACGGAAGGGCACCCCCAGGGGUGGAGCCUGCGGCUUAAUUUGACUCAACACGGGGAAA